rnacentral:rRNA from 1 species
GGAUUAGAUACCCUGGUAGUCCACGCCGUAAACGAUGUCUACUUGGAGGUUGUGGCCUUGAGCCGUGGCUUUCGGAGCUAACGCGUUAAGUAGACCGCCUGGGGAGUACGGUCGCAAGAUUAAAACUCAAAUGAAUUGACGGGGGCCCGCACAAGCGGUGGAGCAUGUGGUUUAAUUCGAUGCAACGCGAAGAACCUUACCUACUCUUGACAUCCUCAGAAGCUUGUAGAGAUACGAGUGUGCCUUCGGGAACUGAGAGACAGGUGCUGCAUGGCUGUCGUCAGCUCGUGCCG